UACCCAGCAACCCCUAUCUCUACCUCCUCGUGGUACCGGCCGGAAACUAUGAGCAACCUUAGGGAAGAUCAGGUAAUCAACCCCGGUGGGAGCAUUGGUCGAAUGCUGACUGGGAAGG
rnacentral:ribozyme from 1 species